CCUACGGGGGGCUGCAGUGAGGAAUAUUGGUCAAUGGACGCAAGUCUGAACCAGCCAUGCCGCGUGCAGGAAGACGGCUCUAUGAGUGGUAAACUGCUUUUGUACGAGGGUAAACGCAGAUACGCGUCUCUUUCUGAAAGUAUCGUACGAAUAAGGAACGGCUAACUCCGUGCCAGCAGCCGCGGUAAUACGGAGGAUUCAAGCGUUGUGCGGAUUUGUUGGGUUGAAAGGGAGCGUAGGCGGUCGGAUAAGUUAGAGGUGAAAUCCCGCGGCUCAACUGCGGAAGUGCUUUGGAUACUGUGCGGCUAGAGAGUAGUUGCGGUAGGCGGAAUGUAUGGUGUAGCGGUGAAAUGCUUAGAGAUCAUACAGAACACCGAUUGCGAAGGCAGCUUACCAAGCUACUUCUGACGUUGAGGCACGAAAGCGUGGGGAGCAAACAGGAUUAGAUACCCGGGUAGUC
rnacentral:rRNA from 1 species